CUGCCCGUAGCUCAGUUGGAUAGAGCAUCUGCCUUCUAAGCAGAGGGUACAGGUUCGAUUCCUGUCGGGCAGGCCA
rnacentral:tRNA from 1 species